GGGCCUGUAGUAAAGUGGUAUUAUGCGUCAUUCGCAUUGACGAGGCGGCGGUCCGAUUCCGCCCAGGUCCACCA
rnacentral:tRNA from 5 species